rnacentral:rRNA from 1 species
AGCUUGCUUUUGAAGAUCAGCGGCGGACGGGUGAGUAACACGUGGGCAACCUGCCUGUAAGACUGGGAUAACUUCGGGAAACCGGAGCUAAUACCGGAUAAUCCUUUCCCUCACAUGAGGGAAAGCUGAAAGACGGUUUCGGCUGUCACUUACAGAUGGGCCCGCGGCGCAUUAGCUAGUUGGUGAGGUAACGGCUCACCAAGGCAACGAUGCGUAGCCGACCUGAGAGGGUGAUCGGCCACACUGGGACUGAGACACGGCCCAGACUCCUACGGGAGGCAGCAGUAGGGAAUCUUCCGCAAUGGACGAAAGUCUGACGGAGCAACGCCGCGUGAGCGAUGAAGGCCUUCGGGUCGUAAAGCUCUGUUGUCAGGGAAGAACAAGUACCGGAGUAACUGCCGGUACCUUGACGGUACCUGACCAGAAAGCCACGGCUAACUACGUGCCAGCAGCCGCGGUAAUACGUAGGUGGCAAGCGUUGUCCGGAAUUAUUGGGCGUAAAGCGCGCGCAGGCGGUUCCUUAAGUCUGAUGUGAAAGCCCCCGGCUCAACCGGGGAGGGUCAUUGGAAACUGGGGAACUUGAGUGCAGAAGAGGAGAGCGGAAUUCCACGUGUAGCGGUGAAAUGCGUAGAGAUGUGGAGGAACACCAGUGGCGAAGGCGGCUCUCUGGUCUGUAACUGACGCUGAGGCGCGAAAGCGUGGGGAGCGAACAGGAUUAGAUACCCUGGUAGUCCACGCCGUAAACGAUGAGUGCUAAGUGUUAGAGGGUUUCCGCCCUUUAGUGCUGCAGCAAACGCAUUAAGCACUCCGCCUGGGGAGUACGGCCGCAAGGCUGAAACUCAAAGGAAUUGACGGGGGCCCGCACAAGCGGUGGAGCAUGUGGUUUAAUUCGAAGCAACGCGAAGAACCUUACCAGGUCUUGACAUCCUCUGACAACCCUAGAGAUAGGGCUUUCCCCUUCGGGGGACAGAGUGACAGGUGGUGCAUGGUUGUCGUCAGCUCGUGUCGUGAGAUGUUGGGUUAAGUCCCGCAACGAGCGCAACCCUUGAUCUUAGUUGCCAGCAUUAAGUUGGGCACUCUAAGGUGACUGCCGGUGACAAACCGGAGGAAGGUGGGGAUGACGUCAAAUCAUCAUGCCCCUUAUGACCUGGGCUACACACGUGCUACAAUGGAUGGAACAAAGGGCAGCGAAGCCGCGAGGUGAAGCCAAUCCCAUAAAACCAUUCUCAGUUCGGAUUGCAGGCUGCAACUCGCCUGCAUGAAGCCGGAAUCGCUAGUAAUCGCGGAUCAGCAUGCCGCGGUGAAUACGUUCCCGGGCCUUGUACACACCGCCCGUCACACCACGAGAGUUUGUAACA